AAUUUAGCAGGACCUGGAGUCGCCUGCUCCUCUCCAGUGGGAAUGCUUCUUCUAGAAAAAUCUGAACUUGUCAUCUCACAGAGCACUCGGUGCCAAGUUAUGAAUGAAAUUACUGAAGAUAAACACUCCAUGAGUUUCUUCUCCUCUUUAGACGGGGUUUGUUCUUUUCUCGGAGCCUUUACUGCUGUGUAAGAACAAGGUGCAUCCAGYACUUCUUUCACUGUACCCCAAGCAGCACAUAAGGAAUUGUGUCUCCAAGCAUCCUCACCCCUGCAGGUGAUGGGCCAGUGCCAUCACGAGAGCCCAGACAGUUGUGCCUCUGGACAUCAAAGGACAAAGUAUCCUGAAUGAAAGGAAUGGGUUUUGCUAAGAUCCUGUGAAAACAGCCCUGGCAGAGGAAGGUGCUGAAGCCAGGCCCCAGGGCAGUGGUGAGGAUGCAGCACUCUGCCCAGCCUGCGGGCUCGCAUCAAACAGGGGUGCAGGGGGCCGUGUAUAGGCACUGCUUUCUUGCUAGUGAUCCAGAUCUGGAAAACAUCUUCCUUUUUUCUUUUUUCCCCACACCAAAAGAAGCAAACAACUCAGGAAUGAGUUUGUCAUUUAAUCAGAGGGCUAGUGAGAAGAUUUCUUUGCAAGGUCCUACCUGGUUCGGAGCAAGAUGCCUUUCCUUUUUAUUCUGGGGAGUUUUAAUAAAAGCACAAAGCCAAGACUGCCAGAGUGCAGAGCUGUUCUCUCCGGGAGAGAACCAAGAGCCCUCCUGCAGCUCCGAAUGACGUCCAUGUCUCAUCAGGUCGCUGGGACAAUUUGGAUGCCGGAUUCUCUGCUUGUAACCCCUUUUGGGAAUGUCAUUGUUCUAUAUUAUGCAUGACACAGAUCCUAUACUAUACACAACGCAGCUGCUGGUGAGAGGGARCCAGCCCUGAGAUGAAGAGGAGCCCCACGAGCUCAGCAUGGCUUGUCUGAAAAUGGGAUUUGCUGGUGGAGGCACCCGCCACUUCCUCCAUCAGAUUUCCCAUCCCAGCCCCACGAGGCUGACACGGAGGCAUGGAGCCCCGAUCUGAGGGGAUACGGUGGUCCCUGCCCCUCCACUCACUGCCAUGGCUCUCCUCAGAGACACUAGUGCUGCUAUCAAUGUGUUCCCUUUUCCGGGGAAAACUGAUACACUCACUUUUCAUGCCAGCUAAUUCAAGAUGUUGAUUUCAUUUUGCUCUGCUCUCUUCUGCCACGUACAUGCACGGUGAACGUCAUUUUUAAAGUUUGAUGACUUUCAGGAAGAUACUAUUCAUAACAAUAGUGACAUCUGAGAUACUCCCACCCUGGCAGCAUUGUAGGAAACUGAUUGGCCUUUCUCUGGAAAAUGCAGGCAGGACUACCAGCAUCUCUAUAGUUAUAGAUUUAUUUGCAUUCAAUAGUUAGAGCAAAACCCUAUACAUUUCUAAAUAUAGACAAUUAUUUUGAAAGUGUUUCAAAAUCAGUUUGCAAUUACAAGCUACAUARAAAUGGCAMAGUUUUGUAAAGGCAAAAAUACAAACUUCAUUAAAGGGAUGCUAGACAAGGACUAUGGGAGUUAGGCACCCAACAAAUCAAGCCURCUUUGAGAAGGCCAGCCUCAGUAAGGAUUUAAACUUCCUAAAAUCAAAAAUAUGAAUGUCUUCAACACAUAAAAAGGGUGAGAGGGUGAUCACACAUUACAGGCAGCAGAGGGAAGAUCAGCAUAAUUGUAGAGCAGCCAGUAAGAGUCAACCUUAAAUURAAGAAUAUAUCAUAUGUAUAGACCUAAUUAAGAGAUGCCACAAAAUGUCUAAGAAAUGUGGCAAAAUGCUCAUGCCCCAGAAAAAGCCAUACUGCCCAAUCUGAUCAGAGGGUGCAGCUAAAAAGACCAUGCAAAAUGGGAAUUGAGCAGURCCAAGACCUGGUGCCCAAGGCACCUCUACCCUCACCAGCCCUCAGCACGGCAGGAGCUGCUCUGGCUGAGGUUUGACAGGGAUGGGCAAACACCUGAGCUCUCUGCAUGUGCAAGGGAAUACAGGCAUAUGCAGGAAACUAUUAAAGGACUGGAUUAUUUCUUAAAAGAGAUMAUGUUUUCAAAGCACACAGCACAAUGCAAUCAUUCAGCAGAGAGUCAAAUGUCACAGUGGAUACAGCUGCAAGACAGUGUCACUCUUUAUUUACAGUAAAAUAUGUCAAAUAGGGAACACAAAGGCAUCRUCGGGAUAAACAUGGGACCGGAGCACACAAAGGCGGGCGGCAUCCACAGCGCAUCAGACAACCUGAAUAAAAGCCCCGACUACAAUACCAGCCCAGUUUCUAUGGUGCUCUUGAGUUAAAGGCUCCAAACAGUUUAAAUAACUGGCAUCCCACUUUUUAGUCAUAGUGAGGACUGACAUAGCCUAAAAUUUGGACUACAGAACAGCAGAAACCAGAGGUGCUCCAGAGAAAGGAUGUGCACAGAAAGGAACAGCUUCACUUGAAGAAUCAGUGGUGUGUCUGCAGGCAGCAUCCAGCCGGAGCGCCUGAGUUCACACUUUGGGAAGUUACAGUGAAAAGGGACUGAGAUGUUAUCCAAGGGCACUGAAAAACAAAGGGAAUGUUUCAUUGUGAAACACAUUUUAAUAUGCACAGGACUAGGAGCCUGUUUCAUGUGCACAUGCCAUGUACACCAAUAUUAGUAUUCAUACAUCUCWA